rnacentral:rRNA from 1 species
GAGUAAUGUCUGGGAAACUGCCUGAUGGAGGGGGAUAACUACUGGAAACGGUGGCUAAUACCGCAUAACGUCGCAAGACCAAAGAGGGGGACCUUCGGGCCUCUUGCCAUCAGAUGUGCCCAGAUGGGAUUAGCUAGUUGGUGAGGUAACGGCUCACCAAGGCGACGAUCCCUAGCUGGUCUGAGAGGAUGACCAGCCACACUGGAACUGAGACACGGUCCAGACUCCUACGGGAGGCAGCAGUGGGGAAUAUUGCACAAUGGGCGCAAGCCUGAUGCAGCCAUGCCGCGUGUAUGAAGAAGGCCUUCGGGUUGUAAAGUACUUUCAGCGGGGAGGAAGGUGUUGUGGUUAAUAACCGCAGCAAUUG